rnacentral:lncRNA from 1 species
UUAAUUUUACCCACUCUUGGUAGAAAUGGAAAUGUGGAUUCCUUUUUUUGCUUGUCUGAUUUUCAUACGGGUAUCGUGUUUUGUCGGAUUCUUGAUUUCAAAGUAAUGCACCUGUUAAUUUUGAUUAAUUUUCUCUAAUGAAUUCUUAUUUCUGGGAUAAUCUUUUCAUUCAAAAUGGGAUAUUUUUUUUCUUUCCCUUCUUAGUAAAUAAUAUAUUUAAUAUCUCACACUGUAAUUUCUAAGUUACUGGGUAAAUGAUGUUUUCUAUUAUUGGAUCUGGUAAGUUCCUAGCCAUGGUUAACUAUGGAGUCUUAACCGUGCGUGCAUUUGAUCAUUUAUUGAACUAAGUUUUGCUGGCGCUUGCAAUGGCUCUAGAUUCUUCUACUGUUUCUUUUAUUUCUUUAGUUUCAAGGUUUGGUUGCCAAUCGAUUUCAAUGAUCAUACAUAGUUGUUCCCGUAUCUAUGGUUGGUGCAUUAGCAAUUUGUAUUGAUGUAUUAGAUGCUAUACUGUAAUCUAGGUAAAAAAGAUGAUCGGGUUUGAUUUCCUGGUCCUUAUAUCUGUUACUUGAGAUACAUUUUUAUUUUGUUGAUAUAACACGGGCAUAUGAGUAUGACGUAUCAUUUAUUAACUUAUAUAUUCUUUUUUAUUUUUUAUUUUUUAUUUUUUAUUUUUUAUUUUUUAAGUUUUAAGUGGCACACCCUACUCUUGUUAUUUAUGGAGUGAAUUCACAUUUCCUACCAAUAAGUGACAAUUUCAAAACUAAUUUACAAACAUAUGCUAAUUAUUAGUACCAGCAAGAUCCAUUUGAUCCUGUAUCGAUCUUCUUUUAAAUCAACAUGUGAUUUGUCUCCAUGUGCUAUCGUCCUUUCAUCUUGAUUACUAGAACUGCUUUAGAUAUUUCUUGGCUGAUUCUCCCUCCUAUUGAAAUGGAAGAAAGAAAACUUUCAUUGAAACAAAUGAGUUACACACCGUGAGUAUAAAUACAAUGAUUACCAACUAACUAACUAUCUAACCAUGCAACUAAUGCAGUGAUUACACGUGGCUAACUAUCACUAACUAACUAACUAACUUCCUAACUAAUUUGUUUACAGCUGGAUAAACAGUGCUGAGCUGAGGAAUUUCUUCUGUUAGUCCCCUUCAAGAUGGACAGUGGGGAUUGAUAAUGGACAUCUUGGACAUUAGCGGGAAUAGGAGAUUAGCAGGAAGAGGCUUCGUAAAGACAUUUGCUAGCUGAUUUUGAGUUCGCACCGGCAACAAUUUGACGAAUCCAUCAUUGAUUCUAUCACGAACGAAGUGACAAUCUAUUUCUAUGUGUUUGGUUCGUUCAUGGAAAAUGGGAUUGCUUGCAAUGUGGAUGGCAGCUUGAUUAUCACAGAAAAUGAGAGCUGGAGCAGAGGAAGAAAUAUGAAAAUCUCGAAGCAACUGAGAGAUCCAAAUGAGUUCACUGGUAGUGGAGGCCAAGGCACGAUAUUCAGCUUCAGCUGAAGACCUUGAUAUUGUGGUUUGUUUCUUAGCCUUCCAAGAUACUAAAGAGUCACCAAGGAAUACGCAAUAGCCCGUCACAGAUUUCCUGGUGUCCAGACAUGCACCCCAGUCAGCAUCAGAGAAAGCACGAAUCUGAAGUGAAGAGUUAGCUGAAAAUAAAAGUCCUUGUCCUGGAGAUGCCUUGAGAUAUUGCAAGAGGUGAUGAGCAGCUUCAAGAUGAGGCUUUCUAGGCUGAGCAACGAACUGACUAAGUUUAUGAACUGCAAAGGUAAUAUCCGGUCUCGAUAUAGUCAAGUACAGAAGUCUGCCAAUCAAUCUUCUAAAGCUGGAAGCAUCAGGAAGAAGGUCCCCUUCAAAUGAGCAAAGUUUGAUUUUGGGAUCCAUGGGCAGUGUGGCUGGCUUGCAAGCCAAAAAACCUGUGUCCUCCAACAAUUGUAAUGUAUAGUGACGUUGGGAGAGGAAGAUGCCUUUGUGUGAGCAAGCAAUCUCCAAGCCCAGAAAGUACUUUAAAUGUCCAAGAUCUUUGAGUUUGAAAAGACUAUGUAAUAGGGCUUUUAAAGAAUUUAUAGCCAUAGUAUUUGAUCCUGUAAUGAUUAUGUCGUCGACAUAGACUAGAAGAGCAACAAAUGAAUUUCCAGAUCCCUUUGUGAACAAUGAAUAGUCCGACUUUGAUUGGAUGUAACCAUGGGAAAUAAGAGCAUUAGAGAAUUUUGCAAACCAUUGUCUUGACGCCUGCUUUAAGCCGUAGAUGGAUUUAUUUAAUCGACAUACCAGCUUCUUUCCCGCCGGAGAACCAUCUUUGCAAUGUGUGUUAUAACCCAAAGGCAGAUCCAUAAAGAUUUCUUCGAAAAGAUCACCAUUUAGAAAUGCGUUAUUAACAUCUAAUUGGGUAAUCUGCCAUUUAUUUAUAGCAGCAAUGGCAAGAAAGAUCUUUACAGUUACAAGCUUAGCCACCGGAGAAAACGUAUCAAUAAAAUCCAAGCCUUUCUGUUGGGUGUAUCCCUUGGCCACCAAACGUGCCUUAUACCUGUCAACACUUCCAUCAGGUUUGUGCUUGAUUUUGUAUACCCACUUGCAGCCUAUGGAAUGCUUGUCUUUGGGCAAGGGAAUUACAGACCAUGUAUUGUUAAGUUCCAUCGCUUCUAGCUCAUCUUUCAUUGCCUUUUUCCAAUGAUCAAAGUGAACAGCCUGAUGAUAGAAUUGGGGUUCAAAGCUGGAAGAUAUGUUAAGUAGGUAUGUACGGUGUGAAGGAGAAAAGGCUUUAUAGGAAAUGUAUUUUGUUAAGGGGUAAGGGGUAUUGUGAUCAGAAACUGGAUCAAUGUUAGAAAGAAGAUUGCAAUGGAAUUCUUGAAGGUAAGAUGGUGGUCUACAGACUCUUGUUGAUCUUCGAGUGACUAUCUGUGAAGAGGUGUUAGAUGAAUGAUCAUUAAUAGGUGCAUUAUCAGGACUUUGGAAGGGUGGCUCUUGGACUGUGGAGUCACCAUUAUGAGGCUGAAAGGAAGUUGGACAGGGGGCAAUAUCAAUUGCAGACUUAGGUAAAACAAGAUUAGGAAAUGGAUCAAUUAAUUCAGAUUCGUGUGGAAUAGAAUGAAAGGGAAAUAAGUUUUCAUGGAAAAUUACAUCCCUUGAAACAAAGAAUGUUUUGGAGACAAUAUCAUAUAGUUUAUACCCUUUAAUUCCAGGUGGAUAACCAAUAAAGACACAAGCUGAGGCUCUUGGGUGAAAUUUUGUGCGAUGAGCUGUUAAAGUGGAUGCAAAACAUAGGCAUCCAAACACCCUCAGGGCAUCAUACUGGACUGCAGUUUCAUAUAGAAGAAAGAAAGGAGUUUUAUUGUGUAAGACUGGAGAUGGGGUUCGAUUAAUGAGGAAUGUGGCCAUGAGGAGACAAUCUCCCCAGAAUUGGAUAGGGACACGAGAUUGGAAAUAUAAAGCCCUUGCAACAUUAAGCAAAUGUUGGUGUUUCCUUUCAACUACUGAGUUUUGCUCUGGACGUUCAACGCAUGAGAACUGAUGUAUAACUCCUUUGGAGGCAAAAAAUUCAGUAAACUGUAAUUCAGGAGCAUUAUCUGAUCUAAACUUCUUGAUCACUUUGCUAAACUGAGUUUCAAUCAUGUUGAAGAACCUUGGAAUAAUGUGACUAACAUCAGAUUUACUCUUCAUCAAGUAAGUCCAUGUGAAGUGAGUGCAAUCAUCAACCAAGGUGAGAAAGAAUCUGUGACCAGCAUGUGUUGGGGCAUGGUAUGGCCCCCAAGUAUCACAAUGAAUUAGAUCAAAAGCUUGUGAAGACAGAUGAUUAUUCAAAGUAAAAGAAAGUCUCCUUUGUUUAGCCAAAGGACAGAUAAAGCAUGGAAUUGAAUCACUAGUCUUGUGAUUAUUACAACUGAUGUCUAAAUUGUCUUUCAAUAUUUCUAACUUUUGAAAAGACAAAUGUCCAAGCCUGUUAUGCCAUGUAUCCAUAGUUACAACAUUUAUUGCAGAACAGAUUGAAAACAAAGCAUCAUUAUUUUGAACAAAAGAAGGUUGAGCAGCAUCCAAUACGUAUAGAUCAGCUAUCCUUUUACCCCUGCCAAUCGUCUUCAAGGUGUUGAGGUCCUGAAUGAUGCAAGAAUUAGUGAGAAAACUAACAUUUAUAGAUGCUUUCCUUGUUAUGGAGCUGACAGAGAGGAGGUUGAAUUUGAGCAUAGGAGCAUAUAAUACAUCUUGAAUCACCAGAUCUGAGCUUAUUUUCACAGUGCCAGUAAAAUGUAUAGAAAGUCUUUCAUGGUUAGGCAGAGUAAUAAAUGCAUUCUAAAUUGGAUUCAUCAAAAGGAAAGCUGACUUAUUACAGCAUAUGUGACUUGUGGCCCCUGAAUCCACUACCCAGCAAGUUUUGGAAUUAAAUGUUGGCUGAUGAGAUAUAGAUAAACAUGUACCUGAUAUGUGUACUGAAUUAGCUCCUGCCUUAGUGUCAGUUUUGGUAGUUGUAAGGUGAUUGCCUAACAUAUUCAUCAGCUGCUGAUAUUGAGUGGAGUUUAAUGUCUGCAUAAAUUCUCCAGCGUUGCUAUUUUGCUCAGGAAUAAACUCAGAUACUUGGUUUGAAACAGCAUUAUUCAUUUGGCUGCUGCUGGAGGAUGGUUGAGUUGGAUAAGGCCUUUGUUUUACUUUAUAUCCAGGUGGAUAUCCAUGCAAUUUGUAGCAUUUGUCAACUACAUGACCUGUGUACCCACAGUAUGUGCAGACGGGUCUCUCCUUCCUUUGAUAUUUGCUGCUGUGAGUUUGGUUCACACCAGGUUUCUUCGCGUCAUUCUUGACAUAGAAUGCCAUUGAAUCGACACUACCAUUGGUGUUAAUAUUUGCAUUGAUACUUCUUUGAUGUUCCUCUUGAGAUAUAAGGGCGAAAGCUUUAUUUAUGGAUGGAAUAGGAUCCAUCAUCAGUAUUUGGCCACGCACCUGAGCAAAGGAAUCAUUUAGCCCCAUCAAGAAGCACAUAACGUAUUCCAUGUGAUAGUAAUCUGCCAGCUUCUUUGAUCCUCCACAAUUGCAUUUCCCACAGGUGCAUAGUGGUCUGUGAUUACUAAGCUCCUCCCAAAUAGUUUUCAAUUUUGUGAAAUACACACUUACAGAAGAUUGACCUUGGAUAUGAUUCAUCAGUUCCCGCCUUAACUGGAAUAUGCGAGGGGCAUUCUUUUGCUGGUAUCUUUCCUUGAGAUCAUCCCAGAUCUCUUGUGCAGAUUCAGCAUAGAUAAUACUAGCUGAAAUCUCUUUAGAAACUGAGUUGAGAAUCCACGAAAUCACCAUGUUAUUGUUUCGGAUCCAGGCAUUUAGCAAAUCAUCAUUGGCUUCAGGUUUUGAAAUUGAUCCAUUGAUAAAACCGAUCUUGUUUUUCACAGACAAAGCAAUGGUCAUCGCACGGCUCCAGGAAGUAUAAUUCUCUCCUAUCAAAGGCUGUGAGACGAGAAUUAGGCCUGGGCUAUCAGAAUGAUGUAGAAAAUAGGGGCUCGAUCCAUCUUCAAUGGCGGAAUUGCUCAUCGAAGAUGAAGAGGAAUUGAGCGAUUGAUUUUGAUUCACAAAUUCUGCCAUUUGAAAAAAUUGCAGAUAAUUGCGAUGAAGAAAGGGAAGCAAUCUAUUGCUCUGAUACCAUAUUGAAAUGGAAGAAAGAAAACUUUCAUUGAAACAAAUGAGUUACACACCGUGAGUAUAAAUACAAUGAUUACCAACUAACUAACUAUCUAACCAUGCAACUAAUGCAGUGAUUACACGUGGCUAGCUAUCACUAACUAACUAACUUCCUAACUAAUUUGUUUACAGCUGGAUAAACGGUGCUGAGCUGAGGAAUUUCUUCUGUUACCUCCUAAUAUGUAAGAAAGAUAUUAAAAUUAAACAAGUUCCUCCUGUUAUUUGCUUUAUGUUACCUCAAUCAUUUUGUUACAUGCAGACAUAUACAAAAGGCAGUCUCGCUAACUGAUUUACGUUGCUGGCCAAAUCUUACUAGGAGAUGAGAAGGCAACUUACCUUUUCUGUCUUUCUGAUGCCACCCGUUAUAUAUCUUGCAGGUUUUCUAUUAUAAAACCUUCUUGUGGUCAUACAAAACUCCACCUUUCAAGAGAAUGAUUAGAAGCAAUUGAGAGAGUAACAACUCCUAUUCAAGCUAUUACUAUAAGUUGUAUAUUAAUCUCCAUAAACGUGUCAACUUGCAAUUUUUUAUUUAAUUAGUUCCUAAUGCAUGUGAAUCAAUACAUUCAUAUGUGCUUAUAAGAAUGAGCAGAAUCAAUAUAUUUUUGAGAUAUUUUAUUCUUUUUUUUUUUUUUUUUUUUUUUUUUUUUACUGAGUCAUUUUGGUGGUUUUCAGU